rnacentral:rRNA from 1 species
AGAGAGAGACAUGCGCGCAUAUCAAUAAGCGGAGGAAAAGAAACUAACAAGGAUUCCCUUAGUAACGGCGAGUGAAGCGGGAAGAGCUCAAAUUUGAAAUCUUCAAGGUUCUACCUUGACGAAUUGUAGUUUAUAGAAGUGUUUUCUGUUAGUGGAGUGGCAAAAGUUCUUUGGAAUAGGACAUCAUAGAGGGUGAGAAUCCCGUAUUUGGUCAUUCCUCCUAGCGUUGUGAUACACUUUCAACGAGUCGGAUUGUUUGGGAAUGCAGUCCAAAAUGGGUGGUAAAUUUCAUCUAAAGCUAAAUAUUGGCGAGAGACCGAUAGCGAACAAGUACCGUGAGGGAAAGAUGAAAAGAACUUUGAAAAGAGAGUUAAACAGUACGUGAAAUUGUCAAAAGGGAAGCGUUUGACACCAGUGUUGUUUUUCCGAAAAUCAAUUACGAAUGCUUUUGUUUUGAGGAGUUAUGACUUCAUCGGCUUGCUCCUUUCUUUAUGAAACUUUCUUAAUGCACUUUUCGGUUAACAAGUCAACAUCAAUUUCUUUUGUUGUAAAAGGGUAUGAGGAAGGUGGCUUUCUUUUCGGAGAAAGUGUUUAUAGCCUCGUGCCUCUGCAAUCGGAGAGAUUGAGGUCUGCAGCGUAGAUCCUUCGGGGUUAGAUACAGUUUGUGCUAAGUUAUAGCUUUUCAUAGACAACUUGUUGACUAUGUUUAGUCUUGUAGCUUACUCGCUGAUGCUAUUUUACCUACGCUUAGGAUGUUGAUAGUCACAGCGUGUAC